rnacentral:rRNA from 1 species
AUGCAUUCCCCCGCCCCGCACAUGUUCAUGCCCCGUAAUGUUGGUCACUGUUGCUCAUGGAGCAAAACAUUGAAUGCCUUUUAUUCUCCGGGUGGAGGAGAAGGGAAAGGGCCCUGUGCCGGCACAUGCCAUGCUUUGAGCUUUUGCGUGUGCACCUGUACUUUGGAGCUUCAAUUCUGCGUGUGGAGGGACCCCGUCCUAGACUCGGAAAGCAGCUUCUUGAUAGCUGCUGCUGGGGCCUGGAUUUUCUGCUCUAAUCAUCUUCCCAUCAGUAGAACCUUGAAGUUGAGCUAUGUGCCAUGGGUUUCGGAAAUCCCUGCCUUGGGCAAAGAUUGUUUUCUGAUGGAGAUCUUCAGCGAGGAUGUACUAGCAGCAAGAGUACAAAACCGUUGCAUUCCGAGCGUGACGGAUCACUCAUCGGACGCCAUCCGAGCCACCUGCUCCACCGCGGCCAUCCUUGCUGCCUGCUCUGCGUCCAUCCGUUUUGCUUCCGUUGCAGCCAUCCCCAUUCACACCGCCUCGUACUCCCUACGUUUGUUGAUCUUCUUCUUUCUGACAAGCCAUUUUCUUACUUGCUCAUCCAAGAGGCUUGCGUCUGUCAACAUUAUCCUGGAAUCCUCCGUGUCUCGAGCAAGUUGCAACCUCUCCGUCUCAAUCUCUAUUGAUCCAAAGGUCUGUACCUUCGGUAAAAUCCAUCCGAAGGUACAGACCUUUGGAUCAAUAGAGAUUACGCCUGAGAUGAAUGUAUCCCUCACUAAGCCAUUCACCGCGGAGGAGAUAAGAGAGGCUCUUGAUGCUACCGUCUCAUACAGGGUCAAGGUGAACGGAAGCUUAACGGAUCUCUUUCUUCCCGAGAGAGGCCUACGUCAAGGAGAUCCCCUAUCUCCAUAUCUCUUCAUCAUAUGUGCAGAAGCUAUUUCCGAAUUGCUGCAGCAUGCAGCACACGAGGGAUCGAUCGAGGGUAUCAAACUAUGCCCAGGUGCUCCGAGCAUAAAUCAUCUUUUCUUCGCAGAUGACUCCCUGAUUGUCAUGAAAGCUACGGAGGCGAGUGCCUUGAAGCUUCAGGAGAUCCUUGCGCUAUAUGAAGCCCAGUCGGGCCAAAAAAUAAAUAGAGACAAGUCCUCUGCGUUCUUAAGCAAGAAAACAAGUCUGCAGAAUAAACAACAGGCGGAGGAACAGCCGGGAAUGUCGUACACAUGGAGAAGCAUUUUAAGAGGGCGUGACCUGUUAAAAGAAGGAAUUGUUUGGCGCAUUGGAGACGGAAUGCAAGUGAAUGUCUGGUCAGACCCGUGGCUUCCUAGGGGUACGACGAGACGGCUAGUAGCGCUGCAAGGCCAGGCGAUCAUUACUAAAGUAAAUGAGCUCUUAAAUCCGGUUACUGAGACAUGGGAUGAUGAACUAGUAAGAGAACUCUUCACGGAGGAGGAUGCGAGAGUCAUCCUUUCCAUACCUGUGAGAGCGGAAAUGGAGGAUUUUAUCUCCUGGCACUAUGAUAACAAAGGCAGGUUCUCUGUUAAAUCAGCCUACCAUUUGGGAGUGAGCCUGAGGGAAGCUAGGAAACAACAAAAUGUAGGAACCUCAAAUGGCCAGAGCCAUUCAGUCCAAUGGCAGCAUAUCUGGACGAUUGAGGUGCCGGGGAAAGUCUGUAUGUUCUUAUGGAGCCUGGCCCAUAACAGUCUUCCCACUCGUAUGAAUAUAAAACGGAAACACAUUGGGCUCGAUACCCGCUGCCCUAUGUGCAAUCGCUUGGAUGAAGAUGGUGGACAUCUUUUCCUCCAUUGCAAGUGUGUGAAGGCGGUUUGGCGAGAGCAGAAUCUGGAAGAGACUCGCCUAUUGCUGUGCGACUGUAAGGACUCUUUCCAAGUCAUAAAUGCUGUUUGUGCACUGCCAGAAGAGAAGAAGCACCGGGUGGCUGUACUCCUAUGGGACUGGUGGACUACGAGAAACAAAACGAAUACGGGUGACAAACAGAAAACAACUUAG